rnacentral:rRNA from 1 species
UACGGAGGGUGCAAGCGUUGUUCGGAAUUAUUGGGCGUAAAGAGCUCGUAGGCGGUUUGUCGCGUCGAAUGUGAAAACCCGGGGCUCAACCCCGGGCCUGCAUUCGAUACGGGCAGACUAGAGUUCGGUAGGGGAGUCUGGAAUUCCUGGUGUAGCGGUGAAAUGCGCAGAUAUCAGGAGGAACACCGGUGGCGAAGGCGGGACUCUGGGCCGAUACUGACGCUGAGGAGCGAAAGCGUGGGGAGCGAACAGG